GCAGUCGAACGAGAAACGGUCUAGCUUGCUAGAUGCAGUCUAAGUGGCGCACGGGUGAGUAAUGUAUAGCUAAUGUGCCCCUUGGAGGGGGAUAACAGUUGGAAACGGCUGCUAAUACCCCAUACUCCUUCAUUCUUAAUGAGUGAAGGGAAAGUUUUUUCGCCAAGGGAUCAGGCUAUAUGGUAUCAGCUAGUUGGUGAGGUAACGGCUCACCAAGGCAAUGACGCCUAACUGGUCUGAGAGGAUGAUCAGUCACACUGGAACUGAGACACGGUCCAGACUCCUACGGGAGGCAGCAGUGGGGAAUAUUGCACAAUGGAGGAAACUCUGAUGCAGCAACGCCGCGUGGAGGAUGACGCAUUUCGGUGUGUAAACUCCUUUUAUAUAGGAAGAUAAUGACAGUACUAUAUGAAUAAGCACCGGCUAACUCCGUGCC
rnacentral:rRNA from 1 species